CUGAGCUAAGCACAUAAAGGCAUUAAAGUGCAUUUCUUCCACAGAAGACAUCUACACCAAAAAGCUUGAAGCCAUGUCUCUGAAUAAAGAUGAGCCGCAUGAAAGUUGAGGGAUAAUUUCAAAGCAGAAGAUGUGAAACAGCUGUUUAUACUGGAUGGACUUUUCUUUGACCUCAGAUCUGUUAAAGAGGUGGAAUUUGUUUCUGAAGACAUUACAUCAAAAAUGACUUUGACUGCUGCAAAAAGCUGUCGAAGAUUUGAAUUCCAAAAUUGAGGAGCUUACAAGUUACAAGAAGAACACUGUCAUAAAAGCCACAUUAACUGCUGCUGAAAUGUCUGACCCCCACACAAAGGAAGUGCUAACUUUCCAAGUGGGACUGAUUUCUGGAGUCAUGUUCUCCUUUUUGUGCUGGACUGCAGCAACUAGUGCAUAAAGUGUUUAUGUACCAACUCAUUUGUACAUACCGAAGAUACAGUGUUUCAAAAUGCUUUAACCAUCUGUAUGUCCAUUUUAAACAUGAUUUUACCAUCAUGGAAAAGUUAAUCUAUUUAUUUUCCCAAAUAAAGCUACAACUGGUUUUGGCUUUUGCUUUUCGGAGGAUUUGGCUUCUGUUUCCUUAUGCAGACAUGGGCACUCACGGCAUC